rnacentral:rRNA from 1 species
CCUACGGGAGGCAGCAGUGGGGAAUUUUGGACAAUGGGCGAAAGCCUGAUCCAGCAAUGCCGCGUGAGUGAAGAAGGCCUUCGGGUUGUAAAGCUCUUUUGUCAGGGAAGAAACGGUGAGGGCUAAUAUCUCUUGCUAAUGACGGUACCUGAAGAAUAAGCACCGGCUAACUACGUGCCAGCAGCCGCGGUAAUACGUAGGGUGCAAGCGUUAAUCGGAAUUACUGGGCGUAAAGCGUGCGCAGGCGGUUUUGUAAGUCUGUCGUGAAAUCCCCGGGCUCAACCUGGGAAUUGCGAUGGAGACUGCAAGGCUAGAAUCUGGCAGAGGGGGGUAGAAUUCCACGUGUAGCAGUGAAAUGCGUAGAGAUGUGGAGGAACACCGAUGGCGAAGGCAGCCCCCUGGGUCAAGAUUGACGCUCAUGCACGAAAGCGUGGGGAGCAAACAGGAUUAGAUACCCUGGUAGUCCACGCCCUAAACGAUGUCUACUAGUUGUCGGGUUUUAAUUAACUUGGUAACGCAGCUAACGCGUGAAGUAGACCGCCUGGGGAUACGGUCGCAAGAUUAAAACUCAAAGGAAUUGACGGCUGAGAGAGCGAGACGACGACGAGGGAGGAGG